UUUGUUUUAUAGUAUUAUUUUUGUGCCAAGAUAAGCAGAAUUUUCUCAGUAUUCUUCUCCUCGCUAUGUUUUACUCAUUACUUUCUCCUGUGUCUCUAAGUUUAUAUAUUUGGAUUUUGAAAUUUCUAUUGGAAUAAAUUGCACACGUAUAACAUAUUGAUUUUGGAUAAAUAUUUUCAGUAUCCUUCAUUUUCUUGUGUGAAAACUCAUUUUUCAUUGAUAACUUCACCAUUAUUAUAUGAAGGGGAGCCUUGAGGCAAGAGUAAAGUUGUGCUCGUGUGAGCUAUAGUUGACGGGUUCGAGCCAUGCAAUCAGUCAUUGAUGUUUGCAUCAGGGUAGACUGCCUACAUUACACCCCUUGGGGUACGACCCUUCCCUGGACCCUACGUGAGUGCGAGAUGCUUCGCGCCCCGAACUAUCCUUUUUAUCUGCACCAUUUUUCUUCAAAGUUACUCUUACUAGUUGCUUACUUGUUACUUGAAACCUGAUUGAUCUAUUUAUUGAGAAGUGACUCAGAAGAUAUCUAAAGUCUUAUAGCUUCUAAGUUCUAACAACCAAUUGUCUUUCUUUGCAGCUUCCAGCUCUUGUCAAUGAUAUGCAAAUGCUGAGUACUGAGUAGAUGGAAAGAAUAUGCACCUCAAGCUUUGAAAGGUGCAAUGACAAAUGUAUUAUUUACUUACACUUCUUGUGAAGUCAAGGUAAUCAAGUUUGGUCUAUGUAUAAGAACAUAUGAUCCAGAUUCCACAGAUGUAUCAUUCUAUAAUUAAAAAGUUGCAUUAUAUUAGUUGAUGUAUAUUCCUUUACUCUACUCCCUCCCCCUCCCCGCGAUAUGUUCCACAGCGGAUGCAAUAUGUUUCGCUAGUUUAACUGAACCUAUUAUUUUUAAAUUUUUAACACGGAACGCAAU
rnacentral:lncRNA from 1 species